GACGAACGCUGGCGGCGUGCUUAACACAUGCAAGUCGAACGGUAAGGCCCUUCGGGGUACACGAGUGGCGAACGGGUGAGUAACACGUGGGUGAUCUGCCCUGCACUUCGGGAUAAGCCUGGGAAACUGGGUCUAAUACCGGAUAGGACCCUGGGAUGCAUGUCCUGGGGUGGAAAGCUUUUGCGGUGUGGGAUGGGCCCGCGGCCUAUCAGCUUGUUGGUGGGGUGAUGGCCUACCAAGGCGACGACGGGUAGCCGGCCUGAGAGGGUGACCGGCCACACUGGGACUGAGCUACGGCCCAGACUCCUACGGGAGGCAGCAGUGGGGAAUAGUGCACAAUGGGCGCAAGCCUGAUGCAGCGACGCCGCGUGAGGGAUGACGGCCUUCGGGUUGUAAACCUCUUUCAGCACCGACGAAGCGCAAGUGACGGUAGGUGCAGAAGAAGGACCGGCCAACUACGUGCCAGCAGCCGCCGCGU
rnacentral:rRNA from 1 species